rnacentral:rRNA from 1 species
AUUGAACGCUGGCGGCAGGCUUAACACAUGCAAGUCGAACGAGUGGCGGCCGGGUGAGUAAUGCUUGGGAAUCUGGCUUAUGGAGGGGGAUAACGACGGGAAACUGUCGCUACUACCGCGUACCAUAGGAUGAGCCCAAGUGGGAUUAGGUCGUUGGUGGGGUAAUGGCCCACCAAGCCGACGAUCUCUAGCUGGUCUGAGAGGAUGACCAGCCAAACCGGAACUGAGACAAGGCCCGGACGCCUACGGGAGGCAGCAGUGGGGAAUAUGGCGCAAUGGGCGCAAGCGUGAUCAAGCCAUGCGGCGUGUCUGAAGAAGGCCUUCGGGUUGUAAAGGACUUUUGUCAGGAAAGCGGUACCUGAAGAAUAAGCACCGGCUAACUACGUGCCAGCAGCCGGGGUAAUUC